UUGAAUUUGCAUUUGGUAGCUGUUCAUGGGAACUCUCAAUAUGCCGUCCAAAGAGGUGUUGAUGCAAGUGAA